rnacentral:rRNA from 1 species
ACCGGCAGCUCAAGUGGUGGCCAUUUUUAUUGGGCCUAAAGGGUUCGUGGCGGGUUUGUAAAGUUCCGGGGGAAUUCCGCCGGCUAAACUGGGGGACUGGCGGGAGAUACUAUUAGACUUGAGGUCGGGAGAGGUUAGGGGUACUCCCAGGGUAGGGGUGAAAUCCUAUAAUCCUGGGAGGACCACCUGUGGCGAAGGCGCCUAACUGGAACGAACCUGACGGUGAGUAACGAAAGCCAGGGGCGCGAACCG